UUGGGGGAGGCUGUUCUCACUCCCUGCCAGCCUGCUGGUCACAUUCAUUCACUUGCUCAUUUGUCCAGCACAUUCUCAGUUACUAUUAUUGUGCCUGAUCCUGAACUAGGCUCCAUGGAGACCAAAAAGAAUAACAGCUCAAGAGCUCACAAUCUACUAGGGCAGUGAGAACUGCAAAAAAACAAAUGAAACUCCUUCGUACUCUGACAAACGCUCUAAUGGGGGACACACACAAGAUGUUCAAGAUCCUGACGAAGCAAAUGACAUUGCCUAAGAAAGCCUUCACAGGAUGCACAAAAGAGGUCAAGAGAGACAGAGAAUUAAUCAUGAACCCAGUUGCCCAGAGGAGAAAAUAAUCUGUUUGUGGCACUCUGAAAAAAGCAAGAAGUUAUACGGUAAGAUCCACCCACAACUCACAAAACUAUUCAUUUGUGCAGCUCUUUUCUUGAAUUCUUAAGUCUGUGGUUAGGUAGAAGGACUUCCUUCGUCUGCCCCUAUUUAUUUUCCAUGUUUGCAAAGCACUUUGUAACAUUACCUUGUUACAUUCACAUUGGGUUCCAAAGCUUUUUGUCUAGACCAUAGGCACUAGACAUUGUGUCCUAUCACUCGGAGGCAAGAAUAUAGUUGUUCAAUGUGUUUAUAGAAAGAUGGUAUCACAUGGAAAGUGCAUUUGACAUGGUGGCCAUGUCUAAACACAAUCAUGUCAUUAAUACCGAUAAUGGGGAAAUUUAAGAUACACUAGGAUGUUUUGCAAUGCAUGAAAAAAAUCCCCAAUUACACAUUGCAUUGGAAUACUACCCCCACCACAGGCACACAGGAACUACUUAAACUUGAGCAACUACUUGAAAGCCAUUUUCAAUAUGAUUCUUAUUUACCUCCCAACAGAAACUCAAAUUACAAGGAGUAACUUUUCUUUCAACCAGCAGAAUCCAAAAAACUUAAGCAGAAUAAAUAGCAUUUAUCAAAUAAAAAGAAGAACUCC
rnacentral:lncRNA from 12 species